rnacentral:rRNA from 1 species
UUAGAGGGUUUCCGCCCUUUAGUGCUGCAGCUAACGCAUUAAGCACUCCGCCUGGGGAGUACGGUCGCAAGACUGAAACUCAAAGGAAUUGACGGGGGCCCGCACAAGCGGUGGAGCAUGUGGUUUAAUUCGAAGCAACGCGAAGAACCUUACCAGGUCUUGACAUCCUCUGACAACCCUAGAGAUAGGGCUUUCCCCUUCGGGGGACAGAGUGACAGGUGGUGCAUGGUUGUCGUCAGCUCGUGUCGUGAGAUGUUGGGUUAAGUCCCGCAACGAGCGCAACCCUUGAUCUUAGUUGCCAGCAUUCAGUUGGGCACUCUAAGAUGACUGCCGGUGACAAACCGGAGGAAGGUGGAUGACGUCAAAUCAUCAUGCCCUUAUGACCUGGCUACACACGUGCUACAAUGGACGGUACAAAGGCUGCAAGACCGCGAGGUUUAGCCAAUCCCAUAAAACCGUUCUCAGUUCGGAUUGUAGGCUGCAACUCGCCUACAUGAAGCUGGAAUCGCUAGUAAUCGCGGAUCAGCAUGCCGCGGUGAAUACGUUCCGGCCUUGUACACACCGCCCGUCACACCACGAGAGUUUGUAACACCCGAAGUCGGUGAGGUAACCUGGAGCCAGCCGCCUAAGGUGGGACAGAUGAUUGGGGUGAGUC